UACGUAGGGGGCUAGCGUUGUCCGGAAUCAUUGGGCGUAAAGCGCGCGUAGGCGGCCCGGUAAGUCCGUUGUGAAAGUCAAAGGCUCAACCUUUGAAAGCCGAUGGAUACUGCCGGGCUAGAGUCCGGAAGAGGCGAGUGGAAUUCCUGGUGUAGCGGUGAAAUGCGCAGAUAUCAGGAGGAACACCGGUGGCGAAGGCGGGUCUCUGGGCCGAUACUGACGCUGAGGAGCGAAAGCGUGGGGAGCGAACAGG
rnacentral:rRNA from 1 species